rnacentral:rRNA from 1 species
UACGUAGGGUGCGAGCGUUAAUCGGAUUUACUGGGCGUAAAGCGUGCGCAGGCGGCCCGUUAAGACAGGCGUGAAAUCCCUGGGCUCAACCUAGGAAUUGCGCUUGUGACUGGCGGGCUCGAGUACGGUAGAGGGGGGUGGAAUUCCUGGUGUAGCAGUGAAAUGCGUAGAGAUCAGGAGGAACACCGAUGGCGAAGGCAGCCCCCUGGGCCUGUACUGACGCUCAUGCACGAAAGCGUGGGGAGCAAAC